CUCUCUCUCUGUAUGAAACUGUUUAUUGACGAGACAAAGCUUUUCAAAACCUCUCCUAAAAGUUCAAAAACUACGCGUCCUUUCCAACACACAACGAGCUCGCACACACCCUCCAUAGAAACCCUAGCUUUCCUUCCUCUCCUCUCUUCCUUUCACUUUCUUUGCUUUUUUUUUUCUCUUUGUUUUCUUCGGUCUUUAUUGGAGGUUGAAGAAGAAUCGGCUUUUUGCCUGUGAAUUUCGGAUUCCGAUUUUUUUGUUUUUUUGUUGUGGAUGGAUGAAAAGGAGAAAUCCGAUCCAGGAACUGAGUUUGGUAGCGAUUCGAGCUGGAAUCUUGGAGGAGACUCGGACAGCGUCUAUUUCCUCUCGAAUGACAGAGAGAGUAGUAUACUGAGCGAAUUCGGGUGGAAUUUUCAACCGGAGGAGGUGAACCGGACCGAUGAACGCGAACGGUUCGGGGACUUGGACCGGAUCGGAGGAGGAGGUGAAGAAGAGAGGUCGGAUUUAGCGGGGAAUUUGGGAGGGACGUUGCUAUUGCCGGAGAGCAGCGGCGAGUUGAGGACCAACAAUCCGGUGGCAAUUCAGGUGGGAUCGACGUCGAAUAAUCCGUCGGUGUCUUCGAGCUCUAGCGAGGAUCUGCCAGAGAAAUCUGCUGACUCCUCCGGUGGCAAACCUCCGACUGAUCAGAUACCGAACAAAGUUAGAAAAAAGGGGCAGAAGCGAAUCCGGCAGCCACGAUUUGCAUUUAUGACCAAGAGCGAAGUAGAUCAUUUAGAGGAUGGCUACCGUUGGAGGAAAUAUGGACAGAAGGCUGUCAAAAAUAGUCCAUUUCCUAGGAGUUACUAUCGCUGUACUAAUAGCAAAUGCACAGUGAAGAAGAGGGUAGAGCGUUCCUCUGAAGAUCCCACCAUCGUAAUUACCACAUACGAAGGCCAACAUUGUCAUCAUACCGUUGGAUUCCCUAGAGGUGGAGUGAUUACUCAUGAAGCUGCCCUUGCAGGGCAGUUGACAAAUCCAGUUUCACAAUUUUAUUAUCCAACACUUCAGUUUCCUAGAGAAAAUCCUCUUACCACAACACAACAGUCACAUCAAGCACCCAGCAGCGAAGCAGGAGAGUCCCGGAUAGUGCGACCGCAGACAUCUCAGCUGCUUCCAGAUGAAGGAUUGCUUGGAGACAUGGUGCCUCCUGGGAUGCGUAGCAGAUGAAAGAUGGGAAGAAAAAAAAGGAAUUUGGUGCUAAAAGAUUAUGACGUCUUACGAAGCUGCAUCAAAUACAGGGACAUGCAUGCGGGGAGUGUAGGCAAUAUUUAUAACCUAAAACAUAAUAUAUAGUAGCCAUGCAAAUAAUCGGUUCGAUCUGAAAUUUUUUUUUUGUUUCCGAGAGUGGCAAAAUUGAAAAAGGGAGAGAGAGUAGAUUUAUCUACCUUGCAUGGACCUGAGAAAGUGUUUCCCCACAUGCAUGACUGAUGAGUAGAAUCCGUAUCUCUCAUAUUCAUGCGCAUGCACGUAUAUCAGUGAUUCAAUUUCCAUGCUAAAGGGUUAUGGAGUAUAAACGGGACCCACUAUUUGGGGUAUUAUAUAGGUGUGGGAAUCUAUCAAUUUUGUUUGGAGCUAGUUUGACAGUUAAGUGAUAGAAGAUGUCAUUAACACAUUGC